rnacentral:sRNA from 1 species
UAUUUAUUAUCAUUUGAAGACAAUUCACGAUUAGCAAUAUCAUAUAAAUAUAUAUGCGUAACGGUAAUAAUAUAUACGUACACGGUAGUAAUGUGUACGUACACGGUAGUAAUGUGUACGUACACGGUAGUAAUGUAUGUAGUAAUGUGUGUGUACGUAUACCGUAAAUUACAUAUACGUACAAUUUUUUUUUAAUGAAGGGUAUAAUUGUAAUUUUGCACUCGUCUUCAACCUCUGCAACCCUAAUUUUGCAGCCGCUUGUUAACUCAUUAACAUCCAAAACUCCUCGCCGCCGACUACUCUUCUUCAUCUCCGCCAUUUGAGUAUGAACAAUAAUUCAAGAAACCAGAAAAUCCUCUUUUUGUUAUACUUUAUCACGAGCUCGAUCGAAAUUUUCUCAACUUAAGCAACGACUAGAACUCGCACAGAGCCUCAAUCGAAAUUUCACUUUCGAUCGGAGUUUGUGUUUCGUCGGAAUUGUUCUUCGUCUUCGACAAACAGUUUUUGAUUUCCUUUGGUUGUCAGAAAGUUAAUAACGUGUUUUUGAUUUAAUUUUAAAUUUAAAUUUUGGUAACCAGAAAAAUAAAGAAACGAAACUGAACCGCCUCCUUUCAUUUCUCGUUCCAGGGCAAAUUUGUCCAUUUUUGGCUGAAUGGCUAAAAUCUGGCUGGACCAGUCCACUUUGUCUAUUUGUGGAAAAAAAAGUCAGAAAGGUGUCCACGGUGAAAAUUUCUUUUCUUUUUAAGCCCUCGAAAUUUUAUUCCUUUUAAUAUAUGACCAUUAAAAAUAUAUUUACCGUAUCAGCCCCUGUUACAC